CGUAAUAAGGUUUCCGUAGGUGAACCUGCGGAAGGAUCAUUG
rnacentral:rRNA from 1 species